rnacentral:sRNA from 1 species
UCGGUGACUUGAGCCGGGCGCCGGCCGUUA